GCGGGAGUGGCGGAAUUGGCAGACGCGCUAGAUUCAGGUUCUAGUGCCAGUCAUGGCAUAUGGGUUCAAGUCCCUUCUCCCGCA
rnacentral:tRNA from 1 species